rnacentral:rRNA from 1 species
ACCAGGGCUACACACGUACUACAAUGGCAGGUACAAAGGGCAGCCACUUAGCGAUAAGGCGCGAAUCCCAUAAAACCUGUCUCAGUCCGGAUUUGGAGUCUGCAACUCCGACUCCAUGAAGUUGGAAUCGCUAGUAAUCGCAGAUCAGCACGCUGCGGUGAAUACGUUCCCGGGCCUU